AACUUUUUUGGAAGGGCUGCAUUUAUUUGAUUUAAACCAAUAUGAAUUUUAUUCAUUGACAGGGUGAAACAAAAUAACUUAGCGAAUCGGACAGCCUUUGUGGAGGCGAUGAAUCAUUCGAGUUUCUGCCCGAUGAGGUGGGGAUGGUNGGGAUUGCACUACCAUGACUGGGACGGGGGAAGGAGAAUUANGGUUCGAUUCCGGAGAGGGANCCUGAGAGACGGCUACCACAUCCNGNGAGGGGGGGAGGCGCGUAUAUUAGUCGAUGUUGACUCGACGAAAUAAUGACGAGAAAUAACGAUGGGGAGCGCUUCGCGUUUUACGAUUGGAAUGAGAGAAAUAUACCACCCUCAUCNAGGAUCAAUUGGAGGGGAGGGCUGGUGCCAGCAGCCGCGCUACUUCCACCUCCAAUAACGUAUAUUAAAGUUGUUGCAGAUAAAAAGCUCGUAGUUGAAUUUCUGUCAGGAGGGACCGGGCCUUUGGAUGAACUUCCAUUGGUGUUUGGUCUGUUUGUCGUCUCUAGACAUCCUAGAUUACAUUUAUUGUAAUCUUCUUCCACUGUUGGCAAAAUAAAGUGUUCCAAGCGAAGCGUAGUUUUGAAUACAUUAAAAUGGAAUAAUAA
rnacentral:rRNA from 1 species